rnacentral:misc_RNA from 1 species
AAUCUCAAUCCCAUCUGGUUUAUGAUCAGGUGCUGGACUUGGACCUGGGUGUCUGCCGCUUGCCCGGCUCACCUCAAAUGACUUAGUGGGAUCGCUUGCAUCCGUGACAGACGUAAUAAGUUUCGUCUUGUCCCUUGCUCUGCGUGUGCCUGCUCACAACCAAGCUUGCCUUCUGGCAAACUAUUUUUUGA